ACGUUUCCUUAACAAGAAUUAAGUUCAGCUGUAAUCACCUGUUCAUUAAUUUUGAACCAAGCGUAUAAAAGGCAGUCGCUCAAAGCCUUGAAGACACGGAAGAAACUCUGAUCAGACUUCUCAGUACGAUCGGCUAGCUAAGACAGAAUGAACACGAAAUUUUCUUGGAUUCUAAUGGCUCUUCUUCUUAGUUCCUUUGUAUGUUGGAGUAGCGCAUUUUCGCCAAACCAGCAUAACCCAAAGAUGCGCAAUGGAAAACGACAUUUUUCCUCUCAAUCCAACCGUGCAAAUGAAAACUUCUUACGGGCAUGGCGGAAAAAUUCCGUUGAAAAUACUGCAGAAAAACCGUCCGAGGUACAGCUUGAAUAAGGCAUGUCAUCGUAUGGAGUUAUCAAGUUAUCAAGUCAAGAUAUUAGGAAAACGAUUUAGGUCUCACAAACUUUCUUAAGAGUUAUUUUGGCGAGUUAAAUGCGUAGUCUAUGAGUUAUUUUUGUAACUAAAAGUUAUAAUUAAAAGGUAAACAUAUCUUUACAAGACUGACAAGGAUCUCAGGUAUUUAAAACACUAAAAGAAGAAAAUGAUAUUAUUUCGAAAAAUAGAUUUAACAGUUUCUAAGUUUAUGUAUAGUUUCUUGCUAUUUUUGCUCAUGACGUAAUCAUUCACCCAUACCUCUAUUUCUAGUUAUCACACCCGCUAUACAACUUGUCGCCCAAGUUAACUGCGGUUUUGCUUUAAGCAUAAUUGCCUUCAGACUGCGCCGUUACUAAUGAGUAAGCAAAACAUUCAUCCUAACAGUAACAAAUAACAUCAUAAGUAAUCAUAAUCAUGAUGCUAAUAAUAAUGAUAGUGAGUCAAGAACAACUUAGAAAGUAAUUUUGUGAGUAAAUUGAACUCACGAACACAACAAUACUUUAAUUGUACGUUAUCAAGGUAAUGAGGCUGAUGGCAUGACGUUCCUUCACCAGUUAAUCAUGUCAAUUACGAAAUGCAAGUUAAAUCUAUUAAAAGAAUAUUUGAUAUACA